UACAGAGGGUGCGAGCGUUAAUCGGAAUUACUGGGCGUAAAGGGUGCGUAGGUGGUUUUGUAAGUAACAUGUGAAAGUCCUGAGCUUAACUUGGGGAUUGCAUGUUAAACUGCAAAGCUAGAGUGUUGUAGAGGAUAGCGGAAUUUCCGGUGUAGCGGUGAAAUGCGUAGAUAUCGGGAGGAACAUCAGUGGCGAAGGCGGCCAUCUGGACCAACACUGACACUGAGGCACAAAAGCGUGGGGAGCAAACAGG
rnacentral:rRNA from 1 species